UGGAGCAAGCGACUCUUACAGUGCCGACAAGAAGAUGCAGGUCACUGUUGCUUUGAACCACUUCGGUAAAGGAUUGGUAGAGAGGAUGCCUAGGUGCCGAUUUGGUUUUAUUCAUGUCGUCAACAAUGACUACAAUCACUGGUUCCUGUAUGCCAUUGGCGGCACCAGCAACCCUACAAUUAUCAGCCAGGGAAAUAGGUAUUCAGCGCCAGGCUUUGGGGCUAAAGAGGUGACCUGUAGGGGCCUCUUAAAGCCGGGACAGUGGAAGAAUUGGAAUUGGGUAUCACAAGGUGACCACUUCGAGAACGGUGCCUUCUUUACACCAUCAGGUAAUCCAAGUGCCAGCAAGCAAUUUGGCGCCGACAAAAUGAUGCCUUUCAAACCUGGUCAAAUGGUCCCCGAGCUCACAAAGUAUGCCGGACCACUAAGCUGCACAAUCGGCCGUCCUUGCUAAAAAUGCUAUUUUUAUAUGCAUUUGUCCUCCCUUUUUUACGUACAAUAUUUGAUACCCAAGCAUAGUACAUUUGGUAUCUUUUCUGAAUGAUUGUCAGUAAAUUUUCUUUUAUGCGAUCCCACCCUAUUCUCUUCUUCUCUCCUAGUAAUAGAUAAUCACAAUUUUUUUCUCACGCGUGACUGUGGAAAUCAUAAAUUUAGAACAUAAAUGUUUGUUUGAAAAUAACAUAUAAUGAAUAAUGAAAUGUGUGGUUUGAAAUAAAGUAACAAUAAUAACAUUGAUUAUCAUGGUGUUUUCAUCAAUCUUUAGUUGGUGUAGGCACCAAAUCAAUCAAAUACAUUAAUCUAACAUAUCUAGUAUAUAUAUUCUAUUGCAAGGUUUUUUUGGAUUUGUGGAAACCUUCAGUUUGAAGUGAGUUUAGAAUUCGCUAUGCGUCACCAAUCAUUUCAUGACAGCAAUGGAAAUUAAUGAAAUAAAAUAUUUGGUUAGAACUAAAGUUGCGUAAUUAAUUAAAAAUUUUAACAAUCGCGAGACCAUUUAGUUUCUAUAAAUUUUGCAUGUCCCAACUUACAUAUUCGGGUAAUUAGUCAUUUGUCAAAACACAUCAAAGUGAGAAAAGAAAGAAACAAGAAUCAUGGUCAUUCCUCAUAUAGUUAUAUUCGUAAUAAUGCAAUCGCAACGGUGAUUCCACCAGGUGUUCUUGCAUCACCAAGAACUAAAUUGAUUUUCUAGAACAAGAUUUAUAAUGGAGACAUCAAGUAUGUAUUUAAGGUGGUGUAUGAGUUAGAUUUCUUUAAGACUCAGCGGGGGUCGGGGAGCCGCCCAAGACAUUGCUUUUACCAGUAUAAAGUCAAAUACCGAAGCAAAAAAACUUGCAAAGCCGAGAGGACAUAGGAUUAAUAAUUCAGCACCUAUGUUUUGAGUUGCUCCAUAGUUGACGCGUGGUAUCAGCUUAGUAAGGGCUUAAAUAAUCGUAUAGAUAUUUAUAAUUGAUGGACAUAAUAAAGUAUGCUUAACAAAUUUGAAAAUCAAAAAAGAAAAUCAAUGUCUUGGUACAGUGUUAAAUUUAUGGUUUUACUAGCAUAAUAAUUGAUUUGGGUUCAAAUCCCUUCGACAACAUAUUUUAUAUUCUUUUAAAACAAUAAGAAUUAAAAUAACCUUCAAUAAUAUAACUUAUUUUAAACAUGACAGGAAUGUAUUUCUAAUUUCCGUAAUAGAGUCGAUGCUCGAUCGACUCAUGUCACCGAAUUAGUUAAGGACUUCAAUAAAUGUUAGUAUAGAUUGUAACAAUAAUGAAAUAUGCAUUAAAAAUCACCACAGAGGUUCAAUAUACACUCGAAUCUCUGUACUCUUUUAGACUUUUAAAAUUUGAAUACAUAGUGCUUUUAUAUUCAAAGGUCCAAGUAAUAAAUUAGAGUCCAAUUCAUAUCACAUAUUCAGAUUUGAGAGAAAUAAAUAAACUCUCUUACCAAUUGAACUUUUAUUUUUUAAAUCAACCAAGUGCAAGGAUUAAAAUCUUGAAAUUGAAAGGAGAGAGGUUUCAUCUGGAAAUGUUGAAGAGUAAAGGGAUUGGAGGAUAAUUAGAGAUUUUUUUUGUAAUUUCUGAAAUUAGACGUUUAGAAUGGUCUAAAAAAUGCAAGAAAACCUCAACUGUUUCUAUCCAAAAAAAAGGAAACAAAAUCCAACCAUUUUUUACGCACUUGAAACACUAGUAGCCAAGUGUGUUUUGUAAAUUUGGAAAUUUUCAUGAAUCCCGGUGUACUAUAAAUAGUGACAUAAUGAUGGUGUUCCAAGCAAAUCAUGCUCGAGUUCAAGUUUUUGGUGCCGUAGCUUGUCUCUCCUGUCCUAUUAGGGUCCUGUUUGCAUCCAACCAGUUGUUUCCAAGAGCUAGGCUUUGAUACUUAAAAUAAGAACCACUAUGGGUAUUUCUAGUUAUAGUUUCUUUCUGUUUUUAUUUGUUGUCAUAAUCCCAACCCUAGAAGCUCAUAUCGCUGAGUAUGACGAGUACUGGACGGCACGAGAAUUGGAAGCCAUUGAGAACCUGGACAAGGCCUAUCACUCCAACCCGGAGGAGGUGGUCCGCCAUUACAAUGACCACUUCUCUAGGACCAUGCUCGAGUUUUAUAUCACCAAAAGGGUGUUGGCAGAAUCAAAAAAGGGUCCCUGUGAGGUUACCAACCACGUUGACAGUUGCUGGCGAUGUGAUCCUGACUGGGAAAAGAAUAGGAAGAAGUUGGCCAACUGUGCCCCUGGAUUUGCUCGAGGUACUACCGGUGGAAAGGAUGGUGAGUUUUACGUGGUCACUGACCCUAUUGAUAAUGCUGCUGACCCCAAGCCUGGAACUCUGCGUCAUGCUGUCACCCAAACUGGACCACUUUGGAUCACUUUCAAAGGGUCCAUGACCAUCAAGCUGCAACAGGAGCUCAUUGUUACAAGUGAUAAGACCAUUGAUGCGAGGGGAGCCAAUGUGGAAAUUUGUAAUGGUGCUGGUAUCACUAUCCAAUUUGUGAAGAAUAUCAUUAUCCAUGGCCUUCAAAUCCAUCACAUUAUUCCCGCCAAGGGUGGCAAGAUCAAGGAUGGUGAAAACCACCAUGGGUUACGGGGUGACAGCGACGGAGACGGGGUGUCUAUUUUUGGAUCAACCAAUGUUUGGCUUGACCAUCUUGCCCUUCACCAUUGCGCCGAUGGCCUUAUCGAUGUCGUUCAAGGAUCAACUGCCGUUACCGUUUCUAACUGCCACUUCACUGACCAUAACGAUGUAAGCUUACUUUCCUUUCAAUUUUAAACUACGCACGAUGAGGAAUUUUUUGAUUGACAAAAAUAAUACAAUUGAAAUGAAAAAAAUUACAGGUGAUGUUGUUUGGAGCAAGCGACUCUUACAGUGCCGACAAGAAGAUGCAGGUCACUGUUGCUUUGAACCACUUCGGUAAAGGAUUGGUAGAGAGGAUGCCUAGGUGCCGAUUUGGUUUUAUUCAUGUCGUCAACAAUGACUACAAUCACUGGUUCCUGUAUGCCAUUGGCGGCACCAGCAACCCUACAAUUAUCAGCCAGGGAAAUAGGUAUUCAGCGCCAGGCUUUGGGGCUAAAGAGGUGACCUGUAGGGGCCUCUUAAAGCCGGGACAGUGGAAGAAUUGGAAUUGGGUAUCACAAGGUGACCACUUCGAGAACGGUGCCUUCUUUACACCAUCAGGUAAUCCAAGUGCCAGCAAGCAAUUUGGCGCCGACAAAAUGAUGCCUUUCAAACCUGGUCAAAUGGUCCCCGAGCUCACAAAGUAUGCCGGACCACUAAGCUGCACAAUCGGCCGUCCUUGCUAAAAAUGCUAUUUUUAUAUGCAUUUGUCCUCCCUUUUUUACGUACAAUAUUUGAUACCCAAGCAUAGUACAUUUGGUAUCUUUUCUGAAUGAUUGUCAGUAAAUUUUCUUUUAUGCGAUCCCACCCUAUUCUCUUCUUCUCUCCUAGUAAUAGAUAAUCACAAUUUUUUUCUCACGCGUGACUGUGGAAAUCAUAAAUUUAGAACAUAAAUGUUUGUUUGAAAAUAACAUAUAAUGAAUAAUGAAAUGUGUGGUUUGAAAUAAAGUAACAAUAAUAACAUUGAUUAUCAUGGUGUUUUCAUCAAUCUUUAGUUGGUGUAGGCACCAAAUCAAUCAAAUACAUUAAUCUAACAUAUCUAGUAUAUAUUCUAUUGCAAGGUUAUUUUGGAUUUGUGGAAACCUUCAGUUUGAAGUGAGUUUAGAAUUCGCUAUGCGUCACCAAUCAUUUCAUGACAGCAAUGGAAAUUAAUGAAAUAAAAUAUUUGGUUAGAACUAAAGUUGCGUAAUUAAUUAAAAAUUUUAACAAUCGCGAGACCAUUUAGUUUCUAUAAAUUUUGCAUGUCCCAACUUACAUAUUCGGGUAAUUAGUCAUUUGUCAAAACACAUCAAAGUGAGAAAAGAAAGAAACAAGAAUCAUGGUCAUUCCUCUAUAGUUAUAUUCGUAAUAAUGCAAUCGCAACGGUGAUUCCACCAGGUGUUCUUGCAUCACCAAGAACUAAAUUGAUUUUCUAGAACAAGAUUUAUAAUGGAGACAUCAAGUAUGUAUUUAAGGUGGUGUAUGAGUUAGAUUUCUUUAAGACUCAGCGGGGGUCGGGGAGCCGCCCAAGACAUUGCUUUUACCAGUAUAAAGUCAAAUACCGAAGCAAAAAAACUUGCAAAGCCGAGAGGACAUAGGAUUAAUAAUUCAGCACCUAUGUUUUGAGUUGCUCCAUAGUUGACGCGUGGUAUCAGCUUAGUAAGGGCUUAAAUAAUCGUAUAGAUAUUUAUAAUUGAUGGACAUAAUAAAGUAUGCUUAACAAAUUUGAAAAUCAAAAAAGAAAAUCAAUGUCUUGGUACAGUGUUAAAUUUAUGGUUUUACUAGCAUAAUAAUUGAUUUGGGUUCAAAUCCCUUCGACAACAUAUUUUAUAUUCUUUUAAAACAAUAAGAAUUAAAAUAACCUUCAAUAAUAUAACUUAUUUUAAACAUGACAGGAAUGUAUUUCUAAUUUCCGUAAUAGAGUCGAUGCUCGAUCGACUCAUGUCACCGAAUUAGUUAAGGACUUCAAUAAAUGUUAGUAUAGAUUGUAACAAUAAUGAAAUAUGCAUUAAAAAUCACCACAGAGGUUCAAUAUACACUCGAAUCUCUGUACUCUUUUAGACUUUUAAAAUUUGAAUACAUAGUGCUUUUAUAUUCAAAGGUCCAAGUAAUAAAUUAGAGUCCAAUUCAUAUCACAUAUUCAGAUUUGAGAGAAAUAAAUAAACUCUCUUACCAAUUGAACUUUUAUUUUUUAAAUCAACCAAGUGCAAGGAUUAAAAUCUUGAAAUUGAAAGGAGAGAGGUUUCAUCUGGAAAUGUUGAAGAGUAAAGGGAUUGGAGGAUAAUUAGAGAUUUUUUUUUGUAAUUUCUGAAAUUAGACGUUUAGAAUGGUCUAAAAAAUACAAGAAAACCUCAACUGUUUCUAUCCAAAAAAAAGGAAACAAAAUCCAACCAUUUUUUACGCACUUGAAACACUAGUAGCCAAGUGUGUUUUGUAAAUUUGGAAAUUUUCAUGAAUCCCGGUGUACUAUAAAUAGUGACAUAAUGAUGGUGUUCCAAGCAAAUCAUGCUCGAGUUCAAGUUUUUGGUGCCGUAGCUUGUCUCUCCUGUCCUAUUAGGGUCCUGUUUGCAUCCAACCAGUUGUUUCCAAGAGCUAGGCUUUGAUACUUAAAAUAAGAACCACUAUGGGUAUUUCUAGUUAUAGUUUCUUUCUGUUUUUAUUUGUUGUCAUAAUCCCAAACCUAGAAGCUCAUAUCGCUGAGUAUGACGAGUACUGGACGGCACGAGAAUUGGAAGCCAUUGAGAACCUGGACAAGGCCUAUCACUCCAACCCGGAGGAGGUGGUCCGCCAUUACAAUGACCACUUCUCUAGGACCAUGCUCGAGUUUUAUAUCACCAAAAGGGUGUUGGCAGAAUCAAAAAAGGGUCCCUGUGAGGUUACCAACCACGUUGACAGUUGCUGGCGAUGUGAUCCUGACUGGGAAAAGAAUAGGAAGAAGUUGGCCAACUGUGCCCCUGGAUUUGCUCGAGGUACUACCGGUGGAAAGGAUGGUGAGUUUUACGUGGUCACUGACCCUAUUGAUAAUGCUGCUGACCCCAAGCCUGGAACUCUGCGUCAUGCUGUCACCCAAACUGGACCACUUUGGAUCACUUUCAAAGGGUCCAUGACCAUCAAGCUGCAACAGGAGCUCAUUGUUACAAGUGAUAAGACCAUUGAUGCGAGGGGAGCCAAUGUGGAAAUUUGUAAUGGUGCUGGUAUCACUAUCCAAUUUGUGAAGAAUAUCAUUAUCCAUGGCCUUCAAAUCCAUCACAUUAUUCCCGCCAAGGGUGGCAAGAUCAAGGAUGGUGAAAACCACCAUGGGUUACGGGGUGACAGCGACGGAGACGGGGUGUCUAUUUUUGGAUCAACCAAUGUUUGGCUUGACCAUCUUGCCCUUCACCAUUGCGCCGAUGGCCUUAUCGAUGUCGUUCAAGGAUCAACUGCCGUUACCGUUUCUAACUGCCACUUCACUGACCAUAACGAUGUAAGCUUACUUUCCUUUCAAUUUUAAACUACGCACGAUGAGGAAUUUUUUGAUUGACAAAAAUAAUACAAUUGAAAUGAAAAAAAUUACAGGUGAUGUUGUUUGGAGCAAGCGACUCUUACAGUGCCGACAAGAAGAUGCAGGUCACUGUUGCUUUGAACCACUUCGGUAAAGGAUUGGUAGAGAGGAUGCCUAGGUGUCCGAUUUGGUUUUAUUCAUGUCGUCAACAAUGACUACAAUCACUGGUUCCUGUAUGCCAUUGGCGGCACCAGCAACCCUACAAUUAUCAGCCAGGGAAAUAGGUAUUCAGCGCCAGGCUUUGGGGCUAAAGAGGUGACCUGUAGGGGCCUCUUAAAGCCGGGACAGUGGAAGAAUUGGAAUUGGGUAUCACAAGGUGACCACUUCGAGAACGGUGCCUUCUUUACACCAUCAGGUAAUCCAAGUGCCAGCAAGCAAUUUGGCGCCGACAAAAUGAUGCCUUUCAAACCUGGUCAAAUGGUCCCCGAGCUCACAAAGUAUGCCGGACCACUAAGCUGCACAAUCGGCCGUCCUUGCUAAAAAUGCUAUUUUUAUAUGCAUUUGUCCUCCCUUUUUUACGUACAAUAUUUGAUACCCAAGCAUAGUACAUUUGGUAUC
rnacentral:lncRNA from 1 species